rnacentral:rRNA from 1 species
CCUACGGGAGGCAGCAGUGAGGAAUAUUGGUCAAUGGGAGAGAUCCUGAACCAGCCAAGCCGCGUGAGGGAAGACGGCCCUAUGGGUUGUAAACCUCUUUUGUCGGAGAACAAAACCCGGGACGUGUCCCGGACUGCGUGUAUCCGAAGAAAAAGCAUCGGCUAACUCCGUGCCAGCAGCCGCGGUAAUACGGAGGAUGCGAGCGUUAUCCGGAUUUAUUGGGUUUAAAGGGUGCGUAGGCGGUCCGUUAAGUCAGCGGUAAAAUUGCGGGGCUCAACCCCGUCGAGCCGUUGAAACUGGCAGACUGGAGUGGGCGAGAAGUACGCGGAAUGCGCGGUGUAGCGGUGAAAUGCAUAGAUAUCGCGCAGAACUCCGAUUGCGAAGGCAGCGUACCGGCGCCAGACUGACGCUGAGGCACGAAAGCGUGGGGAUCGAACAGGAUUAGAUACCCGAGCAGUC